rnacentral:misc_RNA from 1 species
GAAAUGCGAUAAGUAAUGUGAAUUGCAGAAUUCAGUGAAUCAUCGAAUCUUUGAACGCACAUUGCGCCCGCCAGUAUUCUGGCGGGCAUGCCUGUCCGAGCGUCAUUUCAACCAUCAAGCCCCCGGGCUUGUGUUGGGGACCUGCGGCUGCCCGCAGGCCCUGAAAACGAGUGGCGGGCUCGCUGUCACACCGAGCGUAGUAGCAAUCACCUCGCUCAGGGCGUGCUGCGGGUUCCGGCCGUUAAACAGCCUUACAAAACCCAAGGUUGACCUCGGAUCAGGUAGGAAGACCCGCUGAACUUAAGC